rnacentral:piRNA from 1 species
UUGCGCAAUUGUUCUUAAAAA